UCUCUCUAAAAUUUGUGAAUCCUUUGUUCAUCCAUGAACAUUGAUUGCUAGAAGUUUAUUCUCUACGAGCAAAACAUGUAUUUGAUUGAAAUCAAAGUUCAUUCUCUUGAUCAAAGACACAUCUAUUCAAGUGUUGAUCAGUCCAUAGUCCUCACUGAAGUUCAUCAUCCAUAUUUACUUCUAUCCAUCAAAACCAUCAUCAUCUAUCCUUCAAACUAUCAGAUCUUCCUUCAAAAGAAUCAUGGACAAAAAGGAUCUCAUCACCAGAGAUUCAUCAAGUGGUAUCAGAGCAGAUUUGAAGGCUUUUGAUCUUGGAAUCUGCAAGAUGGUCAACCAGAUUUAAAAAAAAAAAAAAUUUGAAAAGUUGAAGAGAAAUCCAACUUGGCUUAAGAGAAAUCCAAUCCUGGUGGAAACCAUGGCUGGAGAUGUCUGUAAAAGAAAGGAGGCACCAACUGUGACUUUUAAUAAAUUGCAGAUGGAAGCAAUGAUGUCUGAGAUCAUGAAGAGAAUGAAAAAGACUGAUAUUUUACAAAAGAAACAUGCUGAUGAUUUCUUUGGUAAUGUUUCCCAAGUUCAUAAGGAAGCUAAGAUCAAAAGGAGGAGCAGAAUACCAUCUUUCUGUGGCAAAAACGACCAUGAUGGCUAUUUGGAGUGAGAGCAGAAAAUGGAGUUUGUCUUUGAUGGCCAAAAUUAUUCAGAAAUCAAAAAGGUUAGAUUGGCUACAUCAGAUUUCUAUGGAAAUUGCAUUCAAUGGUGGGAUCAGCUUAUUACCAGAAGAAGAACAGGAGAAGCACAAGUUGCAUCCUGGUUUGAACUGAAACACUUUAUGAAGAAACACUUUGUUUCUGGUAACUACAGCAGAAAACAUCUGAGACAUGCCAAAGAAGAGACCAGACCUUGCCAUGAUUUUGAUCACCCAAGAAAGUCUCAGUCACAUAAGCAAAGAAGGCAAGACCCACGUCCUAUCUCAAGAGUCAGUGAAUCACUGUGUUCUAAGAAGGAAUCAGCUAUCCAAAAAUUAAAAACAGAGCCAUCUAAGGUAAGUAAAGAACCUGAGACAGAAAAUGAUUUUUCUCUUUUGUCUCCUGAGUGUGAACUUGUUGUCAAUAAAAUCUAUGAUGAAACUUAUCUGGAAUCGGUGCAACCGAGCAGCCUUGUUUUAGUGUCUCGGGUCUCAAAAGAAAACUCAGCAGAAGAAGCACAAAAGAGUUCACCACCAGAAGAAGUGUUGGAGCAGCCCAAAAUUGAAGCAGAAACCGAUGCUAAGUCAUUCUCUUUGAACUCUCAAGGGAACUGUAAGGAUCUUGAUAUGGUUAAUUCUGUGCCUGAAAUGUUUGUUAUAGUCUUGAAAAAGUAAAAAAAAAAAUUGUGUUUCAAACUCUGUUUUUGAUAAAAUGAUUAAUUCUUUUAAAGUGUUUGAACCUGAUAAACUCUCUGAUCAAAAAUGUUUUCAAUAUGGCAAUAACAUUGAUUCUGGUCUUGUUUUGAUUUUUGAUCAGUUUAUGAAACAUAACAGAUGCCUUGAUCACUCUGAAAAGACACUAGAGUUUGUUCUGCAACAAUCUGAUUUAUGUUUCAGAAAACCUUGUGAAUAUUUUUCUUGUUUUAAAGAUAAUGGCUUUGAUCUGAGUUUUUCUAGUCAUAAACUGAUCACUGGUGGUUUCUUUGCAUCUGCUGAUGCCUUGAACAAACCUUGGAAGUUGCAGGAACUGAAAGCACUUAGUGCUGAAACUAAGUUUGUUCUUGAUUCUGAUUUGAAACUUGCUAGUUUGUAUUCUGAAACUGAUAAACCUUGGCAUAUUUUGAGAUCAUUGCUUGAGAAUUGUGUUGUUUUGAGAUUUGAUGAUAUUCUGGUUUACAAUGCAUUUUUUGAUAAACAUGUUGAGUCUUGGUUAAGUAAUUCUCAGUUUGAACUUGAUCUUUUGUGUUCAAAAUCUGAGAAACUUGUGUCUCAUCAGAAAUUGUUCUUUAGAAACUAUGCUAGCUCGUGCCUUUAUGCCAUUCUUGUGUAUAAUACUUAAUUUGAUGUGCAUUUUGAACGAUUGAAACAUGUGCUACAUGUUCUAGGGAAAGAAACUUUGGUUUCUGAUCUGAACAAGUACAUGUCUUGCACAUAUGAUCCUUGUAUUCUAGUUUCUGGUUUGAGUGUCUAGAAUAAACAGGUUCAGUCAAAAAAAAUGUAAGAAACAAGGGAAAACACCAUGUUUAUCAACCUGGGAUUUGGAGAUGGAAGUAUUUGAGAAAAAUGGCUUCAAAACUCCAAGGAAGUUUCUGUCCAAAACCUUACUUUGAUGUUGCUUCCAUACUUAUUUUCUUGAUCAUUUGUCUCGCUUCUUACUUGUUUCCUUUGAUGUAGGAUAUACAGAUUUGAGGACAAAUAUUUUCAAAGAAAGAGGGGAUGAUGUAACCAUGGUUGAGCCUGAUGACUAUGCGACUAAGAAUAAACCUAGAUGGCUAAAUGGAAAGCUUGAAGAUGAAUCUAUGUUUGGAAUGGAGCAUGCUGAGGUUAUUUCUCAUUCAAGUUACAAUGAAGAACAUGUCAAAAAAACUGUAAAAGGUGUGAUUAGACUCAUAGACGAGUUUGGAAUUUUCCAAGCCCAAAAGAAGACCACAAACCAAGAAAAAAAUAAAGGAAGCAACGGCUUACUUGCUUUAGCAUGAGCCAGAGUCAAACCAGAGUCAUGAAACUCAAGUGAAGAAAUCAGCAAAAAUAAUUAUUUAUUGUGUUUUUAAGACAAUUUUAGUUUUGGACCUUUCAACUUCUUUUCCUUUUUUUUUUGUACUCAAACUCUUGAUGUUGUAGACAUAUUGUUUAUUCUCUUUU